CUAAAGCUGUGUCAGGGCCUCCUAAAGCUGUGUCAGGGCCUCCUAAAGCUGUGUAGCUUUAGGAGGCCCUGACACAGCUUUAGGAGGCCCUGACACAGCUUU
rnacentral:pre_miRNA from 1 species